AUUGAACGCUGGCGGCAGGCCUAACACAUGCAAGUCGAACGGUAACAGGAAGCAGCUUGCUGCUUUGCUGACGAGUGGCGGACGGGUGAGUAAUGUCUGGGAAACUGCCUGAUGGAGGGGGAUAACUACUGGAAACGGUAGCUACUACCGCAUAACGUCGCAAGACCAAAGAGGGGGACCUUAGGGCCUCUUGCCAGCGGAUGUGCCCAGAUGGGAUUAGCUAGUAGGUGGGGUAACGGCUCACCUAGGCGACGAUCCCUAGCUGGUCUGAGAGGAUGACCAGCCACACUGGAACUGGGACACGGUCCAGAGUCCUACGGGAGGCAGCAGUGGGGAAUAUUGCACAAUGGGCGCAAGCCUGAUGCAGCCAUGCCGCGUGUAUGAAGAAGGCCUUCGGGUUGUAAAGUACUUUCAGCGGGGAGGAAGGGAGUAAAGUUAAUACCUUUGCUGAUUGACGUUACCCGCAGAAGAAGCACCGGCUAACUACGUG
rnacentral:rRNA from 1 species